rnacentral:lncRNA from 1 species
GGAAAUAAAAAGGGGCAAGUGCCCGAAACCUCGAAGAAAAGAAAAAGUGAGACGAGAGGUAAAAAUGGACAAGUGUCUGACAGUAGAAUUAGGGGUACAAGAUACCCACCUGAGAGAAAAGAAAAAAUUAAAAUAUAGAGCAUCUCAUUCCCCUCAAAAAGCAUCAAAGUGCAAAGAAGGUAUGUAUCCCCUCAAAACAGCAAA